rnacentral:tRNA from 1 species
CAAGGAAUAGUUUAAUAAAAAUAUUAAUUUUGGAGAUUAAAGAUGAGUUUAAUUUUCCUUGA